rnacentral:rRNA from 1 species
CACGUAGUUAGCCGGGGCUUCUUAGUCAGGUACCGUCACUAUCUUCCCUGCUGAUAGAAGUUUACAUACCGAGAUACUUCUUCCUUCACGCGGCGUCGCUGCAUCAGGGUUUCCCCCAUUGUGCAAUAUUCCCCACUGCUGCCUCCCGUAGGAGUCUGGGCCGUGUCUCAGUCCCAAUGUGGCCGUUCACCCUCUCAGGCCGGCUAUGGAUCGUCGCCUUGGUGGGCCGUUACCCCACCAACAAGCUAAUCCAACGCGGGUCCAUCUUAUACCACCGGAGUUUUUCACACUGAGCCAUGCAGCUCUGUGCGCUUAUGCGGUAUUAGCAGCCAUUUCUGACUGUUAUCCCCCUGUAUAAGACAGGUUGCCCACGCGUUACUCACCCGUCCGCCACUAGAAUUAAAUUAAAUCGACCGAAGUUUCAAUAAAGUAAUUCCGUUCGACUUGCAUGUGUUAAGCACGCCGCCAGCGUUCAUCCUGAGCCAGGAUCAAACUCUA